GCUGCCCCGUUUCUCCCCAAUCCCUGCCCCAUCUCUCCCCCAAUCCCAUACAAAUCCUUUUCGCCUCCUUCUCCUCUGCUGCUCUUCUCCAUAGCUGGAGAGGCAAAGGACCAACCAUGGCGCCAUGGAUGAGGAGGCGGAGCUCGAUGUGGAGGAGCACCCAGGAUCCCCAACAGCGCCCCAAGGAGGAUUUCAUCACCAUCUACGCAUCAUCCCCAGGUGUAGAAGUCUUUUUUUACCUUGGCUUCACAUCUCCUUCCUAAAACAUCUUCUUAUUUGCUCCCUGAUUGUGAGGUUGCAUGUGUGCAUGGAAGGUGUUUGUGUAAAUGCCUAAUGGCAAAAACUAUUGUGGAAAGAUGGUGAUUUAUGUACAUCUGGAAAAACUGCAGGUGUACUCGAGGGAUUGAUUUGUUCUAUUGUUUCUCAGAAUAUUAUAUUAUGGAUUCAUGAAUCUAUCCAUAUGCGGAUCUGUGAGAUGACUGUGUGUCUCUGAAAUUCCUCCCAUUCCAAGGGCUAGGAAAAUUACUAAUUGGUGUUUUUGUAAAAACAUUGUGUGCAGAUCUAAUAAGGAAAAGAGAGAAGGAGAAUAUGAGGAGAGUUCUUUUUGAAAAAGCAUUUUUCUAACUCAUAUCUUGUUCGAUUAAGUUCUCAAGUGAUUGAACUGUAUGAAUUGAUUCUUUUUUCUGAACAUUGUGUGCGUGUAGGUUUGUAGAAUAAGAGAAGAAAGAACAAUCUGGGAGAGUUCCCUAAAUAAGAAGACCAAGUGCAGGAAGAAAAUCUUGGAUAGUGCAUUUACACAGUGGCAUGAGUUGUAUUCACAGGAAAUUUACCCUAGAGAUAUACGAGGACACCGAGCCGAGGAGAGGUGUUGCCAAUUCACCAUACACACUUGCUGCCGGAGAAGGCAUGUGAGGGCACGGGUGCAUAAGCGUUGAUGGUGCAACCACUGUUAAUAUCGUGGUUAACAGCAAGGCAUCUCACUAUCGUGGUUAACAGCAAGGCAUCUCACUAUCGUGGUUAACAGCAAGGCAUCUCACCACAUACCGGCAAAGAGGGAGGCAUACUGAUGGCAGUUUGGAUUAGAUCAGGUGGCUGUCAGCUCCCAUGAGGCUUCCGAAGAAACUAAAUUUAAUGUGUUGUCUAUGGGUGAGGUGCUCUUCUGGUUUCCAUGUCGUUUCUUUACUGUGCAUCCAAUUUUACAAAUUAUUUAUCUAAUGAUGCUUUUGAUGCUUUUAUAUAUAGUCGGGAGUGAUAAUCAUGUCUUAUCCUCUAGAUGUGGAAUGCUCCCAUGUUAUGAAGUUCAAAUCUGAAACUUUGCAUUCAUCUUCGUGUUCUUCUUUUCAUUUCUCACUAUGGGGCUUCUAUAAGACAAAUCAUUAGGUAUAUAUAUCCCUUCCAUGUAUAUGUAUGUGUUGUUUUUCUACCAAUAAAAUAAGAAAAGCCACAUAUAGGCACGAGUGUUGGUCGGAUGAUAUCCUAUUGAAUUGUUACCACUUUUCGAAUACAAAUAAUUCUAAUGCAACUCAUUUUCUAAGAAUGUGCUCUCU